rnacentral:sRNA from 1 species
AUGCCUCACUUCACCGUGGUGCCGGUGGACGGGCCGCGGCGCGGCGACUAUGACAACCUCGAGGGGCUCAGUUGGGUGGACUACGGGGAGCGCGCCGAGCGGGAAGACUCGGACGGACAUGGCAACCACAGAGAGAGCAGCCCUUUUCUUUCCCCCUUGGAGGCUUCCAGAGGAAGUGACUACUAUGACAGGAACCUGGCACUGUUUGAGGAAGAGCUGGACAUCCGCCCAAAGGUAUCGUCUCUUCUGGGAAAGCUCGUCAGCUACACCAACCUCACCCAGGGCGCCAGAGAGCAUGAGGAGGCUGAGAGUGGGGAGGGCACCCGCCGGAGGGCAGCCAAGGCACCCAGCAUGGGCACCCUCAUGGGGGUGUACUUGCCCUGCCUGCAGAAUAUCUUUGGGGUUAUCCUCUUUCUGCGGCUGACCUGGAUGGUGGGCACGGCAGGUGUGCUACAGGCCCUCCUCAUUGUGCUCAUCUGCUGCUGUUGUACCCUGCUGACGGCCAUCUCCAUGAGUGCCAUCGCCACCAACGGUGUGGUUCCAGCUGGGGGCUCCUAUUUCAUGAUCUCUCGUUCACUGGGGCCAGAAUUUGGAGGUGCUGUGGGCCUGUGCUUCUACCUGGGAACAACAUUCGCAGCAGCCAUGUACAUCCUGGGGGCCAUCGAGAUCUUGCUGACCUACAUUGCCCCACCAGCUGCCAUUUUUUACCCACUGGGUGCUCAUGACACGUCGAAUGCCACUUUGAACAAUAUGCGUGUGUAUGGGACCAUUUUCCUGACCUUCAUGACCCUGGUGGUGUUUGUGGGGGUCAAGUAUGUGAACAAAUUCGCCUCGCUCUUCCUGGCCUGUGUGAUCAUCUCCAUCCUCUCCAUCUAUGCUGGGGGCAUAAAGUCUAUAUUUGACCCUCCCGUGUUUCCGGUAUGCAUGCUGGGCAACAGAACCCUGUCCCGGGACCAGUUUGACAUCUGUGCCAAGACAGCUGUAGUGGACAAUGAGACAGUGGCCACCCGGCUAUGGAGUUUCUUCUGCCAUAGCCCCAACCUUACCACCGACUCCUGUGACCCCUACUUCGUGCUCAACAAUGUGACCGAGAUCCCUGGCAUCCCCGGGGCAGCUGCUGGUGUGCUCCAGGAAAACCUGUGGAGCGCCUACCUGGAGAAGGGUGACAUCGUGGAGAAGCAUGGGCUGCCCUCCGCAGAUGCCCCGAGCCUGAAGGAGAGCCUGCCCCUGUACGUGGUUGCCGACAUCGCCACAUCCUUCACCGUGCUGGUCGGCAUCUUCUUCCCUUCCGUAACAGGUGAGCCCCGCUUGCCUACCCACCCAGCCCUGUCCCUGAUCCCGGGGAGCCCCUGAGGGAGUCUCAUCUGUUUUUGGAGGCAUCAUGGCUGGCUCAAACCGCUCUGGGGACCUCCGUGACGCCCAGAAGUCCAUCCCUGUGGGGACCAUUCUGGCCAUCAUUACAACUUCCCUCGUGUACUUCAGCAGUGUGGUUCUCUUUGGCGCCUGCAUCGAGGGUGUGGUUCUCCGGGACAAGUAUGGCGAUGGUGUCAGCAGGAACUUGGUGGUGGGCACACUGGCCUGGCCUUCACCCUGGGUCAUCGUCAUCGGCUCCUUCUUUUCAACGUGUGGUGCUGGCCUCCAGAGCCUCACAGGCGCACCACGCCUAUUGCAGGCCAUUGCCAAGGACAACAUCAUCCCCUUCCUCCAGGUGUUUGGCCACGGGAAGGUGAAUGGUGAACCCACAUGGGCACUCCUCCUGACGGCGCUCAUCGCCGAGCUGGGCAUCCUCAUCGCCUCCCUCGACAUGGUGGCCCCCAUCCUAUCCAUGUUCUUUCUGAUGUGCUACCUGUUCGUGAACCUGGCCUGUGCGGUGCAGACACUCCUGAGGACCCCCAACUGGCGGCCCCGGUUCAAGUACUAUCACUGGGCGCUGUCCUUCCUGGGCAUGAGUCUCUGCCUGGCCCUUAUGUUUGUCUCCUCCUGGUACUAUGCCCUGGUGGCCAUGCUCAUCGCCGGCAUGAUCUACAAAUACAUCGAGUACCAAGGGGCUGAGAAGGAGUGGGGUGACGGGAUCCGAGGCCUGUCCCUGAGCGCCGCCCGCUACGCGCUGUUGCGGCUGGAGGAGGGGCCUCCUCACACCAAGAACUGGCGGCCGCAGCUGCUGGUGCUCCUGAAGCUGGACGAGGACCUGCACGUGAAGUACCCGCGGCUCCUCACCUUCGCCUCCCAGCUCAAGGCCGGCAAGGGCCUGACCAUUGUUGGUUCUGUCAUCCAGGGGAGCUUCUUGGAGAGCUAUGGCGAGGCUCAGGCCGCCGAGCAGACCAUCAAGAACAUGAUGGAAAUUGAGAAGGUGAAGGGCUUCUGCCAGGUGGUGGUGGCCAGCAAGGUGCGGGAGGGGCUGGCCCACCUCAUCCAGUCCUGCGGCCUGGGCGGCAUGCGGCAUAACUCCGUGGUGCUGGGCUGGCCCUACGGCUGGCGACAGAGCGAGGACCCCCGUGCCUGGAAGACCUUCAUUGACACUGUGCGCUGCACUACGGCCGCCCACCUGGCCCUGCUCGUGCCCAAGAACAUCGCCUUCUACCCCAGCAACCACGAGCGCUACCUGGAGGGCCACAUAGACGUGUGGUGGAUCGUGCACGACGGCGGCAUGCUCAUGCUUCUGCCCUUCCUGCUGCGCCAGCAUAAGGUCUGGAGGAAGUGCCGGAUGCGCAUCUUCACAGUGGCCCAGAUGGAUGACAACAGCAUCCAGAUGAAGAAGGACCUGGCUGUCUUCCUGUACCAUCUGCGCCUUGAGGCCGAGGUGGAGGUGGUGGAGAUGGUGAGCCCCCUGCCCUGUCCUGGCCCCGUGGAUAUCAUGUCCCGUCCAGCUGAGUCCUCACGGCCAACCCUGUCCCCAGCAUAACAGUGACAUCUCUGCAUACACCUACGAGCGGACGCUGAUGAUGGAGCAGCGGUCGCAGAUGCUGCGGCAGAUGAGACUGACCAAGACUGAGCGGGAGCGAGAAGCCCAGCUGGUCAAGGAUCGGCACUCGGCCCUGCGGCUGGAGAGCCUGUACUCGGACGAGGAAGAUGAGUCUGCAGUGGGGGCUGACAAGAUCCAGAUGACGUGGACCAGGGACAAGUACAUAACUGAGACCUGGGACCCCAGCCAUGCCCCUGACAAUUUCCGGGAGCUGGUGCAUAUUAAGCCGUGAGUGCAGCAAAAACAGCCCCAGCGGCACUGGAAUCUAGGGGUGGAGGUGGGGUGGGGCAGACGAGUAGUGUUAGAUGGGCCACGGGUGGGAACCCUCCUUGCAGGAUGGCUCAUGGUGACCUGUGACUGGCUACACUAUGUGUAGGGACCAAUCCAAUGUGCGGCGCAUGCACACUGCUGUGAAGCUCAAUGAAGUCAUUGUCACGCGCUCCCACGACGCCCGCCUGGUUCUCUUAAACAUGCCUGGCCCACCCAGGAACAGUGAGGGCGACGAGAACUACAUGGAGUUCCUCGAGGUGCUGACCGAGGGCCUUGAGCGGGUGCUGUUGGUGCGCGGUGGUGGCCGUGAAGUCAUCACCAUCUACUCCUGAGCCCAGUGUCAUCUUGUGGCCUGGAGUCGAGGUCUUGGCCAGGACAUCACAAGCUGUGGUCUGGGGUAACAGCCUCUUCCCAGCACCCACCUGCCAGCCCUGCUUGCCUGGCCCUGUCCUGGACCCAGCUUUGCUAGGUCUCCUUGGAAACCAGGCCUGGGCCUCAAAAUGGAGAUGGAUCCCAGGUCUUGUGGGACCCUGGGAUGUUUGGGGACUUUACUGUCUAGCACCCCAGUAGGCCUGUCCUGGCCAGAGAAGACUGGUAGGGGCCAAGUGGGGUUUGAAGGCAGCCGGCCCAGCCCAGCCCAGCCCAGGAGCGCUAUUUAUUGCAUAUUUAUUAUUUGGAUGUCACCAUCAGAG